rnacentral:lncRNA from 1 species
CAGCAGGAGUUCAUCAGAGCUCUGGCAGCCUUUCUCAAAAAGUCUGGGAAGCUGAAAGUCACCGAAUGGGUGGACACCAUCAAGCCGGCCAAGCACAGAGAGCUUGCUGCCUACGAUAAGAACUGGUUCUACACGUGAGCUGCUUCUACAGCGCGGCACCUGUACCUCUUGGGUGGUGCUGGGGUUGGCUCUAUGACCAAGAUCUACAAGGGCCGUCAGAGAAACAGCGUCAUGCCCAGCCACUUCAGCUAAGGCUCCAAGAGUGUGGCCCGCCAGGUCCUGCAAGCCCUGGAGGGGCUGAAAAUGGUGGAAAAGGACCAAGAUGCAAACUGAAACCUCAGGGAGAGAGAGAUCUGGACAGAAUUGCCGGACAGAUGGCAGCUGCCAACAAGAAGC